AGAGCUGCAACGAAGGAUUUUGCGUCGACGCACUCAGCCCAGAUGGCGUACUAGUGAACGACACGAGCUGCCUGUGGGGUGACCAGCGACUGUCACCUGACCCCAGUGACCACGCCCAGCUGGUCACGUGUGGAGAAAUAGCGGCCAGCCACAAACAGCUUCUGUGUGAUGACGCAACAGGGAGGGGAGUGUGCUGCUUUACUUGUGGCCAGGGCGAACACAACUGAAAGUAUAGGCCUACAUAACAAUGCAUAUAUUAAAUAUGUAUACACAGUC